rnacentral:lncRNA from 1 species
UCUGCAGCAGCUCUUGCACGUCUUGCAUGUCUUGCAUGUCGCGCACUCAUUGAGCGCCCCACAGCGUCCUGCGCCCAUAGGUGUUCCGCAGGUCUGUCGCCGCAGUGCUCUGCGCCAUCUAUACAUCCCAUAGCUCAUACGUGCCUCAUAGUUUUUGCGCAUCCCGCAAGCCCAGUUAGCUAAUGAGACCUUCAUAGUAGGCCUAUCACUCCCAGCCAACUGCCACCAAACCCACUGCUGGCAGAAUUGCCCCCUUGGCAAUAUUGGCCAAUCCAAUAGCCUCUUUGCUACUUUUUCCUAAUUAUUUGUCCGUCCCUUUCAUUACUUAGACAUUUAUAUCCCUUGGGUCAUUUGGCAAUUCCCAUAGGCCUAUGACCAUCACCUUCUGAGGAGAACUUGGGUGUAUCAUCUUCGGUACGUAACAUCCUCCCCCACCCAUUUUGGCGACGUCCUCAUCACUCAUGUCCCUUGCUUUCUUCCUGCCCAU